UUUGUUGGAGAUCCCUGCAUCCCUGAGGUCUUCCAAAGAUUCAGCUGUGGAGAAGUGAGUGAACAGAUGUGUAUUGCUUCACUUCCUGAAAAGUUAAACCACAACAAUUUUAACAACGUGUGCUGCAUUGGGGUAUCGUUUCCCUGCAUGUGUCAUGGCUUUUGCAGAACCUGAGUUGGUUGAGGUAUGAACAUCAAUAUAAUCAGUUUUUAAAUAGAAGGAUCUCUUGACUUCAGGAUGCAGUAUCUUACUGGUUUGACAUUACAUUUCUUCCUUCAUCUGCAGAACAAGCACUUAGACAAAGAACAAAGGGCAUGCUAUAUUCUUCACCAAGUCAGCUGCCAGAUGUGAUAGUCUGCUGUCUGCUUACUGAAUGCCAACUUUCUCUCUGACAGCUAAACUCGUAUCACCUGCACUUUCUGCAGUGAAAUAGUUGUUUGCUUUCUGUUGUUUUUGUCAGGUUUUUUUUACUUCGUGAAAUGCAAAUGGGCAGUGUUGUACUUGUAGCAGUGAAUUAUUGGAGUUUUCUGUCAAAUUUAAUAAGAUUUACAAUUAGAAUCUUUUCCUUUUCUUGAACUUAAGUAAACAAACAAAGAGACAUUUCAAAGUGUUCUGAUUUGAAAUUUUCAGAUAUACAAACUGACAUUCAAAUUACAGUGUUGACC
ensembl:lncRNA